AAUACACAACACAAUCUCAUAAAACAAAAUUGAAAUUGAAACCCUAGCAGGCAGAAGCCACCGGCCAGCCACCACUCCACACGAUUGAACUCCCAAGCAACGCCACCACUUGAACAACCGCACCGGACCCAGUCCACUCGUCGCUCCCUCGCCGAUCGCCACCACUUGUAGCAGCCACCAGCCAGCCACCACUCCACAAUUGAACUCCCAAGCAAUGCCACCACUUGACCAAUCGCAUCGGACCUAGUCCACUCAUUGCUCUUUCAUCGAUCGCCACCACCUGCAGCAGCCACCAGCCAAUCACCACCCCACAGUUGAACUCCCAAGCCACGCCACCACCUGAACAACCGCAUCGCAUCGAGUCCACUCGUUACUCCCUCGCCAAUCGCCACCACCUGUAGACUUUCAUACAAGUUGGUCUUAAGGCAGACUCUCCAAUAGUCAAAUGUUUAGCUUGUAAAAUGGUAUGUAUACUUAUUAAUUUAUGCAUAUGACUUAAUGCCUACUUGUGUUAGAAUCGGCAUUGUUGGAUACUUCAACCAUGCAAUCUUCUUUUACAUUUUUGGGAAUGCAAGUCCUCCCCCACCCCCUACGAGAAAAACUUUGUUGUUACCAUUUUACCAAGCGACCUUUUAAUUCAUAUGUAUGGUUUUAUGUUCAGCAUUUCUGUUUAAAGAGUAUGUCUUACUGAUUAAUCCAAGUUAUACAACAUUUAUUAGGAUUUAGGGUGGACUAGGAGAUUGAUAGAAAUCAUGGAAGCAAGGAGUAUCUAAUCAAGCCACCUGGUAUUUGUAGUCUUUUCAUCCAUUUUCUUAGGUUGUACAAAAACAAGAUAGCAGUUUUUUCAAAUGUAAUCUUAAUAUA